rnacentral:lncRNA from 1 species
UGACUACCACCAUUGUUGUAAAUUGUUGCCUGCACCAUGCUGACCCUUAGCUCAAGACAAUAACUUCAAUUAGACAACUAAGUACGUAGAGCUGAUGGUAGAACAACAACAUCUAGAGACAAAAAGAGAACAUUAACACACUGAUGAUGAUAAACCAUAGGAGUAAAUGAUACGAGAAGAUAUGAGCUACCGCAUAUGAAAACUCUGUUGAUAAAAAACUAAAAAUAAACAGACAUCAAGUACAACAUGGGUACCCCUACCUUUUUAUUCCACUUUUUGACUAUGUACACCUUCAAGUAAUUAAAUAAAUAAAAGAAAAAGGAGCAACUAUCUUUCACGCUAGAAAUGUGACAUUUUAUUUGACAAAAUAUUGCUAUCUUUUUUUAAAAAAAAAAAGAUGAAAAGAUCCCACUUUUGACCUGACACUAAUAUAAUCAUCAACCAGUAGAUACAUUUCUGAUCUCGAUUCUCAUAUAUAUAAAGCAUACCAUUGUUGUCGUGUUUUAGUGGACGAAUGUAUUAUAUAUAUAUAACCAGCUUUUUAAAAUAAAUGAUGUUCACCC